CCUACGGGUGGCUGCAGUCGAGGAUCUUCGGCAAUGGGCGCAAGCCUGACCGAGCGACGCCGCGUGUGCGAUGAAGGCCUUCGGGUUGUAAAGCACUGUCGAGAGAGAGAUCGAUCUCUGGAGGAAGCACGGGCUAAGUUCGUGCCAGCAGCCGCGGUAAGACGAACCGUGCGAACGUUGUUCGGAUUCACUGGGCUUAAAGGGCGCGUAGGCGGGUCAUCAAGUCCGGGGUGAAAUCCUCCAGCUUAACUGGAGAAUAGCCUUGGAUACUGGUGGUCUCGAGGGAGGUAGGGGCGGGUGGAACUUCCGGUGGAGCGGUGAAAUGCGUAGAUAUCGGAAGGAACGCCGGUGGCGAAAGCGACCCGCUGGCCCUUCUGACGCUGAGGCGCGAAAGCCAGGGGAGCAAACGGGAUUAGAUACCCUGGUAGUC
rnacentral:rRNA from 1 species